rnacentral:rRNA from 1 species
GCGGCAGACGGGUGAGUAACACGUGGGAACGUGCCCUUUGGUUCGGAACAACUCCGGGAAACUGGAGCUAAUACCGGAUAAGCCCUUCGGGGGAAAGAUUUAUCGCCAAAGGAUCGGCCCGCGUCUGAUUAGCUAGUUGGUGGGGUAAUGGCCCACCAAGGCGACGAUCAGUAGCUGGUCUGAGAGGAUGAUCAGCCACACUGGGACUGAGACACGGCCCAGACUCCUACGGGAGGCAGCAGUGGGGAAUAUUGGACAAUGGGCGAAAGCCUGAUCCAGCCAUGCCGCGUGAGUGAUGAAGGCCUUAGGGUUGUAAAGCUCUUUCGGCGGGGACGAUAAUGACGGUACCCGCAGAAGAAGCCCCGGCUAACUUCGUGCCAG